rnacentral:rRNA from 1 species
CCUACGGGAGGCAGCAGUGGGGAAUAUUGCACAAUGGGCGAAAGCCUGAUGCAGCCAUGCCGCGUGUGUGAAGAAGGCCCUAGGGUUGUAAAGCACUUUCAGCGAGGAGGAAAGGGUGUCCGUUAAUACCGGGCAUCUGUGACGUUACUCGCAGAAGAAGCACCGGCUAACUCCGUGCCAGCAGCCGCGGUAAU